AAUUAAUUAUCCAUUUGGUUUUAUAUUUUGAAAAUAUAAAUAAGAAUAACAUUUUCUAUUAAUUU
rnacentral:tRNA from 1 species